CAUGCAAGUCGAACGGUAGGGGGGGCAACCCCUCGAGAGUGGCGAACGGGUGAGUAAUAUAUCGGAACGUGCCCAGUCGUGGGGGAUAACGUAGCGAAAGUUACGCUAAUACCGCAUACGAUCUACGGAUGAAAGCGGGGGAUCGCAAGACCUCGCGCGAUUGGAGCGGCCGAUAUCAGAUUAGGUAGUUGGUGGGGUAAAGGCUCACCAAGCCAACGAUCUGUAGCUGGUCUGAGAGGACGACCAGCCACACUGGAACUGAGACACGGUCCAGACUCCUACGGGAGGCAGCAGUGGGGAAUUUUGGACAAUGGACGCAAGUCUGAUCCAGCCAUUCCGCGUGCAGGAUGAAGGCCCUCGGGUUGUAAACUGCUUUUGUACGGAACGAAAAGGUCUCUAUUAAUACUAGGGGCUCAUGACGGUACCGUAAGAAUAAGCACCGGCUAACUACGUGCCAGCAGCCGCGGUAAUACGUAGGGUGCAAGCGUUAAUCGGAAUUACUGGGCGUAAAGCGUGCGCAGGCGGUUAUGUAAGACAGAGGUGAAAUCCCCGGGCUCAACUUGGGAACUGCCUUUGUGACUGCAUAGCUAGAGUACGGUAGAGGGGGAUGGAAUUCCGCGUGUAGCAGUGAAAUGCGUAGAUAUGCGGAGGAACACCGAUGGCGAAGGCAAUCCCCUGGACCUGUACUGACGCUCAUGCACGAAAGCGUGGGGAGCAAACAGGAUUAGAUACCCUGGUAGUCCACGCCCUAAACGAUGUCAACUGGUUGUUGGGUCUUCACUGACUCAGUAACGAAGCUAACGCGUGAAGUUGANCGCCUGGGGAGUACGGCCGCAAGGUUGAAACUCAAAUGAAUUGACGGAAGGGCGAAUU
rnacentral:rRNA from 1 species